GACGAACGCUGGCGGCGUGCUUAACACAUGCAAGUCGAACGGUGAAGCGCCUUCCUUUUUGGUGGGUGUGGAUGAGUGGCGAACGGGUGAGUAACACGUGAGUAACCUGCCCCCUUCUUCUGGAUAACCGCAUGAAAGUGUGGCUAAUACGGGAUAUUCUGGGUCUGUCGCAUGAUGGGUCUGGGAAAGAUAUUGUUUCGGUGGGGGAUGGGCUCGCGGCCUAUCAGCUUGUUGGUGGGGUGAUGGCCUACCAAGGCGGUGACGGGUAGCCGGCCUGAGAGGGUGGACGGUCCCACUGGGACUGAGACACGGCCCAGACUCCUACGGGAGGCAGCAGUGGGGAAUAUUGCACAGUGGGCGCAAGCCUGAUGCAGCGACGCCGCGUGGGGGAUGGAGGCCUUCGGGUUGUGAACCUCUUUCGCCAGUGAAGCAGGCCUGCCUCGUUUGUGGGUGGGUUGACGGUAGCUGGAUAAGAAGCGCCGGCUAACUACGUG
rnacentral:rRNA from 1 species